rnacentral:rRNA from 1 species
UUUAGCGGCCGCGAAUUCGCCCUUAGAGUUUGAUCCUGGCUCAGGAUGAACGCUGGCGGCGUGCCUAAUACAUGCAAGUCGAACGAGGAGCCCUGACACGAGUAUUCGUACGAGUAGAUGGGAUUUCCUAGUGGCGAACGGGUGAGUAACGCGUUGGUGACCUGCCUCGAAGUGUGGAAUAACUCCGGGAAACUGGAGCUAAUACCUCAUAUGGUCAGUGGAUUUAGAAACCACUGUCUAAAGGUCUUCGGAUCGCUUCGAGAGGGGCCUGCGUCCCAUCAGCUAGUUGGUAGGGUAAUGGCCUACCAAGGCGACGACGGGUAGGGGACCUGAGAGGGUGAUCCCCCACAAUGGAACUGAAACACGGUCCAUACACCUACGGGUGGCAGCAGUAGGGAAUAUUGCACAAUGGGCGAAAGCCUGAUGCAGCAACGCCGCGUGUGCGAUGAAGGCCUUCGGGUCGUAAAGCACUUUUCUGAGGGAAGAGGAAGGACGGUACCUCAGGAAUAAGUCUCGGCUAACUACGUGCCAGCAGCCGCGGUAACACGUAGGAGGCAAGCGUUAUCCGGAUUUACUGGGCGUAAAGCGCGUGCAGGCGGUUUGGUAAGUUGGAUGUGAAAGCUCCCGGCUCAACUGGGAGAGGCCGUUCAAUACUGCCAGACUAGAGGACGGUAGAGGAAGGUAGAAUUCCCGGUGUAGUGGUGAAAUGCGUAGAUAUCGGGAGGAAUACCAGUGGCGAAAGCGGCCUUCUGGGCCGUUCCUGACGCUAAGACGCGAAAGCAUGGGUAGCAAACGGGAUUAGAAACCCCGGUAGUCCAUGCCGUAAACGAUGCAAACUAGGUGUUGGUGGUGUAAAAGCCAUCAGUGCCGCAGCUAACGCGAUAAGUUUGCCGCCUGGGGACUACGGCCGCAAGGUUAAAACUCAAAGGAAUUGACGGGUUCCCGCACAAGCAGCGGAGCGUGUGGUUUAAUUCGAUGCUACGCGAAGAACCUUACCUGGGCUUGACAUAUGGGUGGUAGGGAGCCGAAAGGUGACCGACCCUUCGGGGAGCCUAUACAGGUGCUGCAUGGCUGUCGUCAGCUCGUGUCGUGAGAUGUCCGGUUAAGUCCGGUAACGAGCGCAACCCUUGCCGUAUGUUAUAUAUGUCAUACGGGACUGCCGAUAUAAAAUCGGGGGAAGGAGGGGAUGACGUCAAGUCAGCAUGGCCUUUAUGUCCAGGGCUACACACACGCUACAAUGGCCAGUACAAUGGGUCGCAAUGCCGCGAGGCGGAGCCAAUCCUCAAAGCUGGUCUCAGUUCGGAUUGCAGGCUGCAACUCGCCUGCAUGAAGCCGGAGUUGCUAGUAAACGCGCGUCAGCAACAGUGCGUUGAAUACGUUCCCGGGAAUUGUACACACCGCCCGUCACGUCAUGGAAGCUGGAAACACUUAAAGUCAGUAUCCUAACCCUAACGGGAGGGAGCUGCCAAAGGUGGGGCUGGUAACUGGGACGAAGUCGUAACAAGGUAAAGGGCGAAUUCGUUUAAACCUGCAGGACUAGUCCC